GACGAACGCUGGCGGCGUGCUUAACACAUGCAAGUCGAACGGAAAGGCCCUGCUUGCAGGGUACUCGAGUGGCGAACGGGUGAGUAACACGUGGGUGAUCUGCCCUGCACUUCGGGAUAAGCCUGGGAAACUGGGUCUAAUACCGGAUAGGAGCCAUUUUUAGUGUGAUGGUUGGAAAGUUUUUUUCGGUGUAGGAUGAGCUCGCGGCCUAUCAGCUUGUUGGUGGGGUAAUGGCCUACCAAGGCGGCGACGGGUAGCCGGCCUGGGAGGGUGGACGGCCACAUUGGGACUGAGAUACGGCCCAGACGCCUACGGGAGGCAGCAGUGGGGAAUAUUGCACAAUGGGCGCAAGCCGGAUGCAGCGACGCCGCGUGGGGGAUGACGGCCUUCGGGUUGUAAACUCCUUUCGCUAGGGACGAAGCUUUUUGUGACGGUACUUAGAUAAGAAGCACCGGCUAACUACGUG
rnacentral:rRNA from 1 species